GACGAACGCUGGCGGCGUGCUUAACACAUGCAAGUCGAGCGGAAAGGCCACUUCGGUGGUACUCGAGCGGCGAACGGGUGAGUAACACGUGAGUAAUCUGCCCCUGGCUUUGGGAUAGCCACCGGAAACGGUGAUUAAUACCGGAUACGACCACUUCUCGCAUGGGAUGGUGGUGGAAAGUUUUUUCGGCCAGGGACGUGCUCGCGGCCUAUCAGCUUGAUGGUGAGGUAAUGGUUCACCAUGGCUUCGACGGGUAGCCAGCCUGAGAGGGUGACCGGUCACACUGGGACUGAGACACGGCCCAGACUCCUACGGGAGGCAGCAGUGGGGAAUAUUGGACAAUGGGCGGAAGCCUGAUCCAGCAACGCCGCGUGAGGGAUGACGGCCUUCGGGUUGUAAACCUCUUUCAGCAGGGAUGAAGCGCAAGUGACGGUACCUGCAGAAGAAGCACCGGCCAACUACGUGCCAGCCGCCGCCGUAA
rnacentral:rRNA from 1 species